UACGAGGGGGGCGAGCGUUGUUCGGAAUUAUUGGGCGUAAAGGGUGCGUAGGCGGUUUGGUAAGUCUGCUGUGAAAUCUAUGGGCUCAACUCAUAGUCUGCAUCGGAAACUGCCGGGCUUGAGUGUGGGAGAGGUGAGUGGAAUUCCUGGUGUAGCGGUGAAAUGCGUAGAUAUCAGGAGGAACACCUGUGGCGAAAGCGGCUCACUGGACCAUAACUGACGCUGAUGCACGAAAGCUAGGGGAGCAAACAGG
rnacentral:rRNA from 1 species